rnacentral:rRNA from 1 species
CAGUCGCCGCGGUAAUACGAAGGGGGCUAGCGUUGUUCGGAAUUACUGGGCGUAAAGCGCACGUAGGCGGACAUUUAAGUCAGGGGUGAAAUCCCGGGGCUCAAUCUCGGAACUGCCUUUGAUACUGGGUGUCUCGAGUCCGGAAGAGGUAAGUGGAACUGCGAGUGUAGGGGUGAAAUUCGUGGACAUUCGCAAGAAUACCAGUGGCGAAGGCGGCUUACUGGUCCGGUACUGACGCUGAGGUGCGAAAGCGUGGGGAGCAAACAGGAUUAGAUACCCGAGUAGUCCCUGUCUCUUAUAC